AUUGAACGCUGGCGGCAGGCCUAACACAUGCAAGUCGAGCGGAGCGGCGGACGGGUGAGUAAUGCCUAGGAAUCUGCCUGGAAGUGGGGGAUAACGUCCGGAAACGGGCGCUAAUAUCGCAUACUAUCAGAUGAGCCUCGGUCGGAUUAGCUUGUUGGUGUGGUAAAGGCCUACCAAGACUCCGAUCCGUAACUGGUCUGAGAGGAUGAUCAGUCAAACUGGAACUGAGACACGGUCCAAUGUCCUACGGGAGGCAGCAGUGGGGAAUAUUGGCCAAUUGGCGAAAUCCUGAUCCAGCCAUGCCGCGUGUGUGAAGAAGGUCUUCGGAUUGUAAAGCACUUUAAGUUGGGAGGCGUUACCAACAGAAUAAGCACCGGCUAACUUCGUGCCAGCAGCCGCGGUAAUUC
rnacentral:rRNA from 1 species